rnacentral:rRNA from 1 species
GAGGACGUAUCCGGCUGCGAUAAGCCACGGUCAGCUGCCUAGAAAGCGUUACGAACCGUGGAUUUCCGAAUGGGAAACCCGGCGCCUUAGCGGGCGUCACUCCGGUGUGAACACAUAGCACCGGUAGAGGAACCGGGGGAAUUGAAACAUCUCAGUACCCCGAGGAAAAGAAAACAACCGUGACUCCCUCAGUAGCGGCGAGCGAAAGGGGACUAGCCCAAACCUGACUGGUGUUAAAGCCUGGUGGCGUUGCCAGUUGGGGGUUGUGGGACUCGAGAGUGAGGGCACCAGAUCUCACACGGAGUUACCAAGUUGAUGCGUAGUGGAAGCGUUUUGGAAAAGCGCGCCGCAGUGGGUAAUAGCCCCGUACACGAAACGUACUCAGCCUCCGCUCGAUCAUCCCAAGUAACGCCGGGACCGUGAAAACCGGCGUGAAUCUGCGAGGACCACCUCGUAAGGCUAAGUAUACGUAGACGACCGAUAGUGAACCAGUACCGUGAGGGAAAGGUGAAAAGUACCCCGGGAGGGGAGUGAAAUAGUACCUGAAACCGUUGGC